rnacentral:lncRNA from 1 species
CUCAAGUUCCAAGAGGACUUUCACUUCUUUAUUUAUAAUCACAGAAGUGAGGUGCUACUUCACACACACACACACACACACACACACACACACACACACACACACACACAAUGAAAUAAAGAAAUGAAACUCGCUAAGCAGACAAAAACAGCCAAGUUUCUGCUUAGGAAACAGCCUUCUCCGGUGGGAAAGGUUAGGCUGCCAUGUCUAGGAGAAAGACUUACUCCCGGAAUUCAUUUUGGCCAGAAAUGGUGAGAAGAAAAAGCAUGAAGAAGCCGCGAAGUGUGGGGGAGAAAAAGGUGGAGGCGAAGAAACAGCUCCCGGAGCAAACUGUACAAAACCUCGCCAAGAGUGUCGGGAGGCAGGACCGUUAUUCCUGCCGAGCAGGGGAGAGAAGAGAGACCCUGAAACACGCGCCACCUAUCUUUGUGGGGAGGGAUAAUUGAAGCGCCCUGAGCGUGAGCAUCAUGUGAAAACGUGAUCGCCAAGUUUCUCUCUGGGAAAGGAUCUGGGAUAGAUUAUACCUUGAAGUCUCCGCAAACGCUUUAGUGGAAGAAAUGAAAUUCCACCUCCCUCCCUUCCUCUCUCCCUC